CCCUUAGAUGUUCUGGGCCGCACGCGCGCUACACUGACGAAGUCAGCGAGCAUGUCCUACGCCGAUAGGUGCGGGGAAUCUUGUGAAACUUCGUCGUGCUAGGGAUUGAUUAUUGAAAUUAUUGAUCAUCAACGAGGAAUUCCUAGUAAGCGCAAGUCAGCAGCUUGCGUUGAUUACGUCCCUGCCCUUUGUACACACCGCCCGUCGCUACUACCGAUUGAAUGGUUUAGUGAGAUCUUCGGAUUGGUGCCACCGAGUCCAGCAAUGGACACGGUGAAUAUCGAAAAGUCGAUCAAACUUGAUCAUUUAGAGGAAGUAAAAGUCGUAACA
rnacentral:rRNA from 1 species